UAUUGUAAAGCGCUGGGUUCUAGGUAUGCUAAAUUUCAGAGGUCUCUCUUUAAAUGACUACAAAUGGACUUGUAACUGCCCCUGGGAGGCACAAAAAUAUCAAGUCAGUUUAGUCAAUGUGUAGUUGGUUUUUUUUUACCAUUCAAUGUAGUUGACUUUUAAAUGCCAGCUUGGCUUUAUGGCAAAGGCACUGAUACAACAUCCAGUUCCUGUGUCACAUGCAGCACUAGAGGGCAGAGCUAACAGCUAAUGAGAAAUUAAGGAUGCCUUAAGGUCAAGGGAACGUAUGUUAUAAAGCAGUUAAAUAAAAUCAUAGGAAACAGCUGGUGAACCAGGCUGAGACACAAAAGCCAAAAUAUGAGGUGACUGGUAAAAUGAAUGGCAAAUUAAUUGCAUGCCAUGCUGGAAGCAUGACAAAUAUUACAACCAUGGCCUUGGAUAUCCCCUCAGACCCUGAUUGAGAGCAUUUGCAGCUCUGAGAGACACUUUCCAGCUUUCUGCACACUCACUUCUAGUGUAUUUACUAGCUUCUGUUUGCAAAUGGAAGGACUAAACAUGUCACUCUGUGAAAUAAAGCUGAGGUGCUGGAGCACAGCUCUGCUGCAGGAAGAGAACGUCCUGGAAUGUGCCACAUGCUGGGGAAAGUGACCUGAGAGGCAGCAUCCUGUAAAUUUGUCAGGAUCAGACUCUUCCUGCCUGCUAUUUUCCAUGGGCUUGAUGCCAUGGGUCUCGCAGAUGACUGUAAAGUACUGAAGGUGGGAGUGGAUAGAGGUGUUUGGGGAUCUUUGAUGAAUGCUGGAGUUCCAGUGUUUUUUGUCGGCCCAAGAGUGCAGAGAGUUAUGAGCCAUGCACUCCUUCACAUCUGCACCAUGGAGACUAAGCACAGCUUGCAUGGUCAAGAGGCCUUCGUUCUAAGUCAGCUUUUGGGGGCUAGAAGCUUGAAUACAGCUGCAGAACAAGUUUGGAUCCCCAUAUACAAUGGAAACCCAGAGGAUAUUGUCCUUUCCCACAAUUACUUUGGCCAAACUCAUGGGGACAGCAAAGAGCCAACAAAGUCAUCAGCCCUAUGACAAGUAUCAAGGAAAACUGGAACUACUGCUGUGGUCAAGUCAAGUCUCUAUUAAUGUCUGUGUCUUGCUGUAACUACUUACUCAGUUUCUUGGAAUUUCUUUGCUAUCUUACUUAAAGUAUGUAGAUUCAACAUCUUCUCUUCUUUUUGUGUCCACUGAUUUUUAAAACAGGUAUAAAAAGUAUUGGUAUACCGGAGGGUUAAAAACAUAUUUUAUGCCAUCAGCUAAGUCACCAGUAAAAGAAAUAAAAAAAAUCAAAGAAAGCUACA
rnacentral:lncRNA from 1 species